rfam:Triticum aestivum genome assembly, contig: Triticum_aestivum_CS42_TGACv1_scaffold_404523_5BL
AUUCUACUUCCUCCGUCCCAAAAUUCUUGUCUUAGAUUUAUCUAAAUACGGAUGUAUCAAGUCACGAUUUAGUAUUAGAUACAUCCGUAUCUAGACAAAUGCAAGAAAAGAAUUUUGGGACGGAGGGAGUACUUU